rnacentral:tRNA from 1 species
GCGCCAGUAGUCUAGCCUGGUAGGACUUUGGCUUCCCAAGCCAACGACCCGGGUUCAAAUCCCGGCUGGCGCA